rnacentral:rRNA from 1 species
GGUGAACGCUGGCGGCGUGCUUAAGACAUGCAAGUCGAACGGCAGUCUUCGGACUGUAGUGGCGCACGGGUGAGUAACGCAUAACUGACCUACCCCAAAGUCGCGGAUAACGAUUCGAAAGAAUCGCUAAUACGUGAUGUGCUGUCAGAUUGUGUUCUGCCAGUAAAGAUUGAUUGCUUUGGGAUGGGGUUGCGUUCCAUCAGCUAGUUGGUGGGGUAAAGGCCCACCAAGGCGACGACGGAUAGCCGGCCUGAGAGGGUGGCCGGCCGCAGGGGCACUGAGACACGGGUCCCACUCCUACGGGAGGCAGCAGCUAGGAAUCUUCCACAAUGGGCGAAAGCCUGAUGGAGCGAUGCCGCGUGAGGGAUGAAGGUCUUCGGAUCGUAAACCUCUGAAUCAGGGACGAAAGACACUUCGGUGGGAUGACGGUACCUGAGUAAUAGCACCGGCUAACUCCGUGCCAGCAGCCGCAGUAACAC